rnacentral:rRNA from 1 species
CCGACAAGCGGUGGAGCAUGUGGUUUAAUUCGACGCAACGCGCAGAACCUUACCAGCCCUUGACAUGUCCAGGACCGGCACCAGAGAUGGAGCCUUCUCUUCGGAGCCUGGAGCACAGGUGCUGCAUGGCUGUCGUCAGCUCGUGUCGUGAGAUGUUGGGUUAAGUCCCGCAACGAGCGCAACCCCCGUCUUUAGUUGCUACCAUUUAGUUGAGCACUCUAAAGAGACUGCCGGUGAUAAGCCGCGAGGAAGGUGGGGAUGACGUCAAGUCCUCAUGGCCCUUACGGGCUGGGCUACACACGUGCUACAAUGGCGGUGACAAUGGGAUGCUAAGGGGCGACCCCUCGCAAAUCUCAAAAAGCCGUCUCAGUUCGGAUUGGGCUCUGCAACUCGAGCCCAUGAAGUUGGAAUCGCUAGUAAUCGUGGAUCAACAUGCCACGGUGAAUACGUUCCCGGCCUUUGUACACACCCCCCCG